UUCCGGUUGAUCCUGCCAGAGGUCACUGCUAUCGGUGUUCGACUAAGCCAUGCGAGUCAAAUGUUCUUCGUGAACAUGGCGUACUGCUCAGUAACACGUGGAUAACCUGCCCUUAGGUCUGGCAUAACCCCGGGAAACUGGGGAUAAUUCCGGAUAGAUCAUCGAUGCUGGAAUGCGCUUUGAUCCAAAGCUAUUGUGCCUAAGGAUGGGUCUGCGGUCUAUCAGGUUGUAGUGGGUGUAAUGUACCUACUAGCCUACGACGGAUACGGGUUGUGGGAGCAAGAGCCCGGAGAUGGAUUCUGAGACAUGAAUCCAGGCCCUACGGGGCGCAGCAGGCGCGAAAACUUUACAAUGCGGGGAACCGCGAUAAGGGGACACCGAGUGCCAGCAUCCUAUGUUGGCUGUCCAUAUGUCUAAAUCACAUGUGUUAGCAAGGGCCGGGCAAGACCGGUGCCAGCCGCCGCGGUAACACCGGCGGCCCGAGUGGUGGCCACUAUUAUUGGGUCUAAAGGGUCCGUAGCCGGUUUGGUCAGUCUUCCGGGAAAUCUGACGGCUCAACCGUUAGGCUUUCGGGGGAUACCACCAGGCUUGGGACCGGGAGAGGUAAGAGGUACUACGGGGGUAGGAGUGAAAUCUUGUAAUCCCUGUGGGACCACCAGUGGCGAAGGCGUCUUACCAGAACGGGUCCGACGGUGAGGGACGAAAGCUGGGGGCACGAACCGGAUUAGAUACCCGGGUAGUCCCAGCUGUAAACUAUGCUCGCUAGGUGUCAGGGACGGUGCGACCGUUUCUGGUGCCGCAGGGAAGCCGUGAAGCGAGCCACCUGGGAAGUACGGUCGCAAGGCUGAAACUUAAAGGAAUUGGCGGGGGAGCACUACAACGGGUGGAGCCUGCGGUUUAAUUGGAUUCAACGCCGGAA
rnacentral:rRNA from 1 species